CUUAGAGGUUAUAGAAGUAUAGCUUUUUCUCAAUGGAUUUCAAUCGUAGAUUCACACUUAUCUGUUUAAAGUUUGCAUCUUCCGUGUUAAACCUCUCCUUAUGCCAAGUGUCAGAAAAAGCUCCUCUCCUCGAGGCUGCCGCUAUAAUAACGCUGAUGUAGAAACCAUCCGGUUUGGAAGCCUCUCUUAUCUACAAUCCCACUUCAAAGCAUAACAAAAUUUCAGAUAUCCGAAGUCCAGGUACCAAAAUUAGCAGAGCCUCUUUCAGGGGCAACAGUAAAAAGAUGGCUGUGUCUGGGAAAGUAGAAGGUCACCAUUUG